CACCCGACCCGACCCGGGACUGAGGACGCCCACCAGGCCCAGUUCCGCACCACGUGUUCUGAUGACAUCUUGACAGUGUUUCCUUGGCUCUCCUGGGAAGGUUGAGAUGCUAGAAUCCGGCAGAACUGGAACCAUCGCGAGCCACAGCAACCCCGAGCCUGGAUUCCGGGCUUCGGCUUUGUCUUUUGGUUAAUCAGGUCGUUGUGAGGCUCCGGACGACAAGUGAUUAGCCCAAGACGAUGGACAAACGGGAGUCCCCUUUAUGCCCGAGAUCCUUCUCCCGCCCCUCUGCAGAGAAAGACCCGUCUUGGGCCCACGUUCUCAGCUGGGGAGCCCAGAGCUCUGACUUCUGAGUCAUCUGCCCAAAGCUGGUUCCAACAGUGGCUUCAGUGUGCCUGCCAGCGAAAUGGGACGAGGAAACCGCGGUCCGUCAGGGUCCUCGAGGCAGCUUCAGAGUUCCUGCAAGUGGAAGGAAGUCUGGGGCCAGAACAGGAUUGGGCACCGACCCCCGCCAGCCUGGGCACGGCCCUGGUGUUUCUGCCUCUCUGGGCAGAAGCAUCUUGUCACACAAUGAAGAUCUUACCUGCCACCCUCCCACUUGGUGUGGUGGGAAUUGGAAAAUGAAGAGCCAUACCAAAGAGAAAGGAGAGAGAGAGGCUGUGCCUGCCAAGCAGGUGACUGAGGACAGGGAGAUCCGGAAUGCCUGGGGAUGGCAGGAAGGAGGAGGAGAAAACGGAGACUCCAAGAAGUUGAGUAAUUCGUCAGCAUGCAAAUUUUAUGCCUUUCUUGUUCAAUUUAUUCCUGGUUAUUUGAUGCUAAUGCAAAUUGGGAAUUGUUCUCAUAUUUUCAUUUUCAGAGUGCUUGAUAAUG
ensembl:lncRNA